rnacentral:lncRNA from 1 species
GAAUGGACACCUCUAAGUAUGUGUCAGGCAUUAAUCCAUCUAAUGCUUCUAUUUGAUAGGUCCUAUUUUCCCUAUUUUUACAGAUGGGGGGAACGUGCUUAGCAUAGUUAAAUAAUGUGCCCAGGAUUACAUAGCUACUCAACUCAGGCUGUGUGAUGACAAAGUUCACACUCUUAUAUAAGAUUUCCUUCCAUUCUAAGAUGUUUCCCCCACCUUAUACAACUGACUACCACAUACAGUGGUAAUACAGAUAUCCCCAUUAACAUCAUCAGAAUAUGGAAUAAGAAAAGAC